UACGAAGGGGGCUAGCGUUGUUCGGAUUUACUGGGCGUAAAGCGCACGUAGGCGGAUCGUUAAGUCGGGGGUGAAAUCCUGGAGCUCAACUCCAGAACUGCCUUCGAUACUGGCGAUCUUGAGUCCGGAAGAGGUGAGUGGAACUCCUAGUGUAGAGGUGGAAUUCGUAGAUAUUAGGAAGAACACCUAUGGCGAAGGCAGCUCUCUGGGACGGUACUGACGCUGAGACGCGAAAGCGUGGGGAGCGAACAGG
rnacentral:rRNA from 1 species